GACGAACGCUGGCGGCGUGCUUAACACAUGCAAGUCGAGCGGUAAGGCCCUUCGGGGUACACGAGCGGCGAACGGGUGAGUAACACGUGGGUGACCUGCCCUUCACUCUGGGGAUAAGCCUGGGAAACUGGGUCUAAUACCGGAUAUGACCUGCUCUCGCAUGGGGGUUGGGUGAAAGUCAGUAUUGUAGUGAUGCUGGCGGUGGGGAGUGGGCCGCGGUCUAUCAGCUUGGGUUGGGGGUGGA
rnacentral:rRNA from 1 species